AGGGUGGAGAGAUGUCCUCUCAGUACGUACGGACCCGCGGUUACAAUUUCAGGGCUCCUUACAGGGUAGUUUCAGUCAGAAGCGGCCGGGUUGGGCAGGCGGAGGUGGUUUCGCUUUACACAUCAGCCUCUUUGGGCAAGAACUUGGAGGUGUGGAAAUGCUUUUUGCUGCUCCCCGCUCUGCCCCGGUUAAAAAACAAAGUGGCUUCAUCGGAGUUUUCGUGCAGUGGGGGCUGGCAGAGAGCUGCGGCAUCUGGCAGUCCGGGCUGUGAGGCGUUUGCAGAGCGGCGGGGUUUGUAACCCUCCUGCACCAAGUGACUAAGGACACAGAGAAUGAUUGUUGGCACAUUUCAUUGAGAUCACAUGGAGAUAUGACAAUUCAAGCUACCACUGGGACCUGAAAUUUUCACAGAGAAGGUUCUACCACAGGCAGCUGCUCUCCAGACACGCUUCUGAUGCCAGCUGUGACUGUGUGGGUUUAAGGACGAGCAGCAUCUCCCCAUACAAAGCCUUGUAGAUGAGAACAAAAAGUCAAAGCUGUGUGUGGAGCACCAGUGCUAUGUUCAGACCUGGGCAAGUUUUCCUGUUAGGCAGGCAUUUUCCCACUGCACGAGGAAGAACCACAACACUCAAAACAGUUUUCCUAGAGGGGGGGAAAAUAUGAAAGUGAGAUCCAGCCAUCCUGAAAUUGCUGAUCAGGGCGUUUACCUCAGUCACCGAACAUCUGCAUUCAAAUCCUUUCUUUGCCUCUCUCACACCACAGAUGGGAAUGUGGGUUUCCCACAUCCCGAGCUUGUGGUUUUACCACCAGGCUACUUGUUCUUUGAAAGCAGGUCUCUCUUUUUGCUUUUACAUCUGCUCAUGUGAGGUAACCUACUUAAUAAGCAAACUGAAUCACCCCAGUUUAAGUCUAAUUUGUGAGAUGAUUUCAUGUUAUAUCGUCACAUGUAUUUUUGCAAGAGUCUCUUUUAAUGAGGCUGUUGGGAAACAAUCUAAUAAUAUUAAACACACACACAAAAAUGACCAGGUUACUAACACCUAAAUUCCUGUGAGAGGAGAAAUGGGGAUCAUAGUUUCCCAGUUUCAUUUUCUGCACUAUUCACAAUGAUAUAUACCAUCCCGUGGCCCAGGAGUACCCCUAUAGAAGCUCCCAUCAGAGCCCACAGGACUUGUCACUGAUUUCAAUGACAUAAACAACUCGUUUCAGAACACAGGAAAAGCUUGUCUGACCUUUUGCAGUGUCUGCCUGAAGAGACACCAUUUUUCACACAACAGCUCAAAGAUGUGUUUGUUUUCCACCCAAGUCUCAACACCCCAUUGUGAGGGAGUAGUCCCGAACACCCCCACAGGGGCUUUGGCUCACUGAGGUGAAUUUAUCACAAGAACACACUUUCUACAUCAGACAGCACAGCCCCAGAGGGUUAAUGCCUUGGAUGCUCAGCUGGAUGCAGCCUGAAAGCAGAGCCCCUUAGAUGCACAUUCAGAAUGAGAAGAGCUGGAAGCUGUCACACGCCACUGCCGAGAACAAAGCUCCGGCCUCUUAAAUUAAAACUUUUGCACACCA